UGUGUAUAACAAGAGGCUUUUGUGUUGUUUGUGGUGAGGAUCUCUACAGUUAGCCUGUGGUCUUUUUCGUUGAAGUUAGUUUGUAGUUGAUGUAUAAAGGUUUAUGUUUUGGUUGCUAGCUGUUUUGUAGGAAUUCGAUGUUUGUUAUUCUUAUUGAGUUUCGUAUAUGACAUGUGUGGAGUUAAAGCUGAAUCGGAAGUAGAUCAAAAGCUGGAGUAGUAUAUGAGAUGUGUGGGCAGCGUUUGCAACGGGAGUGUUUCCCGUGGUUAGGUAGGGUUUGGUUAGGUGGGGAACAGGGGUUUAGGUUGUGGUUUUGUUGAAUGUUUUGAAUUGUUUGUGGGCUUGUAUGACAUGUUUGUGGUAGUUGUUUUUUUUUUUCUAGGUAGAAGUUGUUUUAAGCACGAGGGGAAUGAAGCGGGGU
rnacentral:lncRNA from 1 species